rnacentral:rRNA from 1 species
AGUAGGGAAUAUUGCACAAUGGGGGAAACCCUGAUGCAGCAACGCCGCGUGGAGGAAGACGCAUUUAGGUGUGUAAACUCCUUUUAACAAGGAAGAUAAUGACGGUACUUGUUGAAUAAGCACCGGCUAACUCCGUGCCAGCAGCCGCGGUAAUACGGAGGGUGCAAGCGUUACUCGGAAUUACUGGGCGUAAAGAGUGUGUAGGCUGACCAAUAAGUCAGAUGUGAAAUCCUGUAGCUUAACUACAGAACUGCAUUUGAAACUGUUGGACUAGAAUUUGGAAGGGGCAGAUGGAAUUGGUGGUGUAGGGGUAAAAUCCGUAGAUAUCACCAAGAAUACCAAAAGCGAAGGCGAUCUGCUAGUACAAUAUUGACGCUGAGACACGAAAGCGUGGGGAGCAAA